rnacentral:piRNA from 1 species
UCCUGAUAUUUGUAGGACAAGAGGCCCACACU